rnacentral:tRNA from 1 species
UAUACUUUAGUAUAAAAUGUACAAAAAUUUUUGAAAUUUUUAGUAAUAGAUAUUUUCUAUUAAGUAUAU